rnacentral:rRNA from 1 species
CCCCAGACUCCUACGGGAGGCAGCAGUGAGGAAUAUUGGUCAAUGGGCGCGAGCCUGAACCAGCCAAGUCGCGUGAGGGAAGACGGUCCUAUGGAUUGUAAACCUCUUUUGUCGGGGAGCAAAAGCCGGACGUGUCCGUCUGUGAGAGUACCCGAAGAAAAAGCAUCGGCUAACUCCGUGCCAGCAGCCGCGGUAAUACGGAGGAUGCGAGCGUUAUCCGGAUUUAUUGGGUUUAAAGGGUGCGUAGGCGGACCGUCAAGUCAGCGGUAAAAAUGCGGUGCUCAACGCCGUACAGCCGUUGAAACUGGCAGUCUUGAGUGGGCGAGAAGUAUGCGGAAUGCGUGGUGUAGCGGUGAAAUGCAUAGAUAUCACGCAGAACUCCGAUUGCGAAGGCAGCAUACCGGCGCCCGACUGACGCUGAGGCACGAAAGCGUGGGUAUCGAACAGGAUUAGAUACCCCCGUAA